CCUGCGGAGGGAUCAUUACACAACAAAAUAUGAAGGCCUGGCUUUCGCGGCCGGCUGAAGUAUUUUUUUCACCCAUGUCUUUUGCGCACUUGUUGUUUCCUGGGCGGGUUCGCCCGCCACCAGGACCAAACCAUAAACCUUUUUUUCUUAUGCAGUUUCCAUCAGCGUCAGUAAAAACAAUGUAAUUAUUACAACUUUCAACAACGGAUCUCUUGGUUCUGGCAUCGAUGAAGAACGCAGCGAAAUGCGAUACGUAGUGUGAAUUGCAGAAUUCAGUGAAUCAUCGAAUCUUUGAACGCACAUUGCGCCCUUUGGUAUUCCAAAGGGCAUGCCUGUUCGAGCGUCAUUUGUACCUUCAAGCUUUGCUUGGUGUUGGGCGUUUUUUUGUCUCCCUCUUUCUGGGAGACUCGCCUUAAAACGAUUGGCAGCCGGCCUACUGGUUUCGGAGCGCAGCACAUUUUUUGCGCUUUGUAUCAGGAGAAAAGGACGGUACUCCAUCAAGACUCUACAUUUUUCACUUUUGACCUCGGAUCAGGUAGGGAUACCCGCUGAACUUAAGCAUAUCA
rnacentral:rRNA from 1 species